GUGUGUGUAGUGCAUGAAUAUACAUUUACCCAAGUUUACAGUCUUUUUUUAGGAAUACAAAUUUACAGGUAGUAAAGCAAGUAUUUCAAAGGGGGUUGAUGUUUCUUUAGAACCACCGCACCCGGCGUCGUUUUUGUAUUUUUAGUAGAGACAAGGUUUCACCAUGUUGGUCAGGCUGGUCUUGAACCCCUGACCUCAGAUGAUCCACCUGCCUCGGCCUCCCAAAGUGUUGGAUUACAGGCGUGAGCCUCCGCGCCCGGCCAGGUGAAUCUGUUCUUGGAAAACAGUCUGCUGUAAGAAUAUGAGCGAACCGACACUAUUAAGGACCAUUUAAUGAGUUUCUGAACAGAUAUUUAUCAUGUCACAGUUUAUUUCCUACAUUUAUUAUGGCAAAUACCAAAGUUUUGGAAUAUAAUUGUUUCAUUGGAACUACUCAUGCCUUUGAUAAUUGGGUACUUUGGCUUGGCUCCUAAUUGAAUCAACAGUCUUAGGCUUACAUAUUAGUAUACAUUGUUGUUGAUAAAAUCCAAAUUUGUCUGUUGUUUUUACACUAGGCUGAAAGUAGCAACU
rnacentral:lncRNA from 1 species